rnacentral:misc_RNA from 1 species
UCUGUUGUUGUCGUCGGCGGCCAAGUUCUCUCUCUUUCUUUAGCUUCUUUUUGUGUUUAGGUCUUAUUUUUUGGCUGGUUUAGAGUUUGAAUCCUUGUAUAGUUAUCUAUAUGUGGUUUGGUUAAUGUAAAUUCAAUCACUGUGUCUGUUUGGCUAUGCAUAUUUAUGUAUAAAUAUUUUUGUAUUUCUUGAAUGUGUAAUUUGUGAGAUUUGAAUUAUGGUGGCAUUUGUAUUGUGUGAAUGCAGAGUUCUGGAAAGUCAUCGGUGUUG